CACACCGGAGCAGGUUGGUGUGGACCCUGAGGUGGCGGAAGCGGAAGGGGUCUUGGCGGGAUGCAGAAGUUCACUGCGGCCAGUGGAACCACGGCGGAGAGAAAAGCAAUCUGCCUGUGGACAGAUGGUCAAACUGUUAUUGUUCAUUUUCUGGUGUGUUGACAUUUGGUGAAGUGGCUGAGGACUUCUCGCAGGAGGAGACGGAGUGCCUAGAUCCUGCUCAGAGGACUUUAUACAGAGACCUGACAGCAGAGAUUUGCAGCUCUCAUUUCUGUGGGUGAAGUGGAUAUUCAGUGAACUGAAAGGAAGAUUUUGAAAGAAAGAGAAGACAGUUUA